UACGGGGGGGGCAAGCGUUGUUCGGAAUUACUGGGCGUAAAGGGCUCGUAGGUGGCCAACUAAGUCAGACGUGAAAUCCCUCGGCUUAACCGGGGAACUGCGUCUGAUACUGGAUGGCUAGAGUUUGGGAGAGGGAUGCGGAAUUCCAGGUGUAGCGGUGAAAUGCGUAGAUAUCUGGAGGAACACCGGUGGCGAAGGCGGCAUCCUGGACCAACACUGACGCUGAGGCGCGACAGCGUGGGGAGCAAACAGG
rnacentral:rRNA from 1 species